rnacentral:miRNA from 1 species
ACCUUGGCUCUAGACUGAUUA